CUGUCUGUGCCGUCCUGUCGGUCGGCCGGGCACCCCCACUCGCGAAGAAAUGAAAAAAAAGAUAGAUUUGCCCUCGCCGCCGUGGUAACCUAGGGUGUGGGGGACAAAAAGGGGAGAGUGUCGCGGAGGUCGGCCUACAGGACUGCGGCGGCGCCGGUGUUUCCACGUCGGGCUAGCGACGGAUGGACGCCGAGGGUAUGGAGUUCCUGCUUGACGCGGUGGACAGAUUCCCCGUACUGGAGGGAUUUGCUGACAGGCUUGACCACCCAGAUCCAGUUCCACUCCAUUAUCUGCUGGAGAAGGGGAGUGCAACUCAGGAUGUUGGGGAACUGAAUGGUGUUUCUGGGCUGGCUCAAACGGAGGACGAAGGAGCAGCUGCAGACCGACAAGAAGGUGACCAGCGUUUUCGUGAUGAAUAUCCGACGAGGUCCGCUCAAUAGACUGACAGGGUUAAUCCACAAGCCCCCGGAUGGACAAAAAGGCUCCGGCUCGGAAGUGCGCCACCGGACCGAGUGCCAUGCCCAUCGAGGAUGAGUGCUCUCGAGGUUUCAAUCCGCAAAUAUGCAGAGCAGCCUGACAAGAGUGUCGUUAGACCUGAGCUAGGACUCAGUUUUGAUUCGUCGGGCGAGGCAUAUGAUUUCUAUAAUCUAUAUUCUUGAGAAGUAGGUUUUGGCAUAAGAUAUGGAAAAAGCAGACUCAACGCCGAGAGGACAAAAAGCAUGCAGGAAAUAGUUUGUGGUUGCUCGGUGAGUACACUUUUAAUGCAACAAAAUAAAAAUUAAAAACAUAAAUGUGGAAACAAUAGUAAUGACUACGAUCAAGAUUUCUUUUGGAACUAGAGCUGGGCUACUUUUGACAUGUUUGCUGGAUGUUCUAAGGGGAAACCGGAAACCGAAAACAGUCGGUCCUGCAGAUGUGAGUGCCCAGCUCUGAUUAGGCUUCUGCGUGCAUCCGACAACAGCUGGUACAUAACAGAGCAUCGAGCGAGUCACAACCAUUCCAUGUCGCUAACAAUGGGAGAGAAAGUGCACUGGCCUUCUCAUAAACAGAUAGAUGUAUACACCAAGGAUUUGAUAAAGCAACUGAGGGAAAACAAUGUUAACCUUGGGAAGGUAUACAGUAUAAUUGGGAGCUUCUUUGGUUCGGUCGAGAAGGUCACUUUCACGAAGGGGACGCUCAAGAAUAUUUGUGGGAAGAUUAGCCGUGAACAGGCUGAAGACGAUGUCCGGAAGACACUUCAGGCGUUUGCUGACAUCCAGGCCAACGCCAUUGCCAAACUGAUUUCGAAUUUUUUUGAACCGAUCGCUGGCAUCCGAUGGGAGGUUCUCUCGCUGAAUCGGCAAGUAGUGGCACAACCAGAGGGGCGGGGCAUGAUGCGUUCGUGGGAUUGAAUCUUCCCGUGAAUUCUCCCUAGCUUUUUUCUGAACUUCGAAGCGAUCUGUGCAUAUGAUUCAGCGGCACAUCGAUUCUGAAUCAAAAAAUCUCUGCCUGCUGCAGCCUUCACCUCCCUCCCGCAUGGGCUCCGCAUCUAGCGCCUGGAGCACAACGCAUCUGCCAGCCGAUGUCGACGACACUAAUGGAGAGGGCGAGGUCGUCCAGCAAGAUGAGUCUGUCCACCGGCCUCUCACCCAUGAUUUGGGCAGCAUGGUGGGGCAAGAUUCACGGGAAGAAGGAUUUGGUGAUUACGAUCCAGCUGCUGCUCCGGAUUCGCCGCGUAGCACUGGUAGUUCUGCCGUCGACGACCAAUCUGGUGUCAUGUGUGGUGGCAACGUGGAAGACUCUGAAGAUGAGGAGGACAUUAUCAGCAUGCUGCCUAAACACCGCUGUAUAAUAGACUAGAUCGUGUAGCUAAAUGAGAACUGGUAGGUGAUUUGUGUGCUAGAAGAUGUUGGUUAAUUAGUAUCGUUCACGCGUUCCGUUGUGACGGCCCUGUUUGUAAAAUCUACUUCCUUGUUUCAUUUUCACUGGUUGCAUCCUUGAACCUUAAACACGCGGGGAUCCAUUCUGGGUUAUUUUUCUGGCUUUUUAG